AUUGAACGCUGGCGGCAGGCCUAACACAUGCAAGUCGAGCGGAUGAAGGGAGCUUGCUCCUGGAUUCAGCGGCGGACGGGUGAGUAAUGCCUAGGAAUCUGCCCUGUAGUGGGGGAUAACGUCCGGAAACGGGCGCUAAUACCGCAUACGUCCUGAGGGAGAAAGUGGGGGAUCUUCGGACCUCACGCUAUCAGAUGAGCCUAGGUCGGAUUAGCUAGUUGGUGGGGUAAAGGCCUACCAAGGCGACGAUCCGUAACUGGUCUGAGAGGAUGAUCAGUCACACUGGAACUGAGACACGGUCCAGACUCCUACGGGAGGCAGCAGUGGGGAAUAUUGGACAAUGGGCGAAAGCCUGAUCCAGCCAUGCCGCGUGUGUGAAGAAGGUCUUCGGAUUGUAAAGCACUUUAAGUUGGGAGGAAGGGCAGUAAGUUAAUACCUUGCUGUUUUGACGUUACCAACAGAAUAAGCACCGGCUAACUUCGUG
rnacentral:rRNA from 1 species